AACGCGAAGAACCUUACCUGGGCUCGAACGGCUUAAGAACAUCUUUGGAAACAUUGACUUCCCGCAAGGGACUUGAGUCGAGGUGCUGCAUGGCUGUCGUCAGCUCGUGUCGUGAGAUGUUGGGUUAAGUCCCGCAACGAGCGCAACCCUUGUCCUGUGUUGCAACUAAUAGGCACUCUCAGGAGACCGCCAGCGAUAAGUUGGAGGAAGGUGGGGAUGACGUCAAGUCAUCAUGGCCUUUAUGUCCAGGGCUACACACGUGCUACAAUGGGCGGUACAAUGCGCUGCCAACCCGCGAGGGGGAGCUAAUCGCAAAAAACCGUCCUCAGUUCGGAUUGCAGGCUGCAACUCGCCUGCAUGAAGCUGGAAUCGCUAGUAAUGCCAUAUCAGAACGAUGGCGUGAAUACGUUCCCGGGCCUUGUACACACCGGUAUCUC
rnacentral:rRNA from 1 species